rnacentral:lncRNA from 1 species
CCCUUCAACUGUGAAACGAAAUUUUCCCUCAAUGAUAUAUGCUGUCUUUUGUCCUUUUGUAAAUGUUUUUGUAAAUUUGGCUGGACCAGAUUCCCACCUAUACAAAAUUAUGUGUCAUAGUUAGUUAGUGUCAAAUUUGGACAUAAAUUCACAUAGAACAAAAGGACCCAAAAAAUCCCUCCAAGGAGAUCUAUAAAUAUCAUUUCAAAUAUAAAAUGAAUCCAAUGGCAUGCACAACAUAAAUCAUAAUUAAUCAUUGCAGGACAUAAAAAAUAACUGAUUAUCUCAUAAUAAUAUAAUUAAAUCUAAGUUCAUGAGAAGUGUCAAAUGGAUCAAAUUAGUUACGUUUUCAAUUAUUUUUCUUAAUAUUGUGAUACUUAUUUAGAUGAGGAUGAAAUGUCUGAAAGAAAUACUUCCACAAUGGACCAAGGAUCAAUAAUGAGAAAGGGUACACUAAACUGAGAAAGGGUAACUAAACAAUAUUUUCAAGAUUAUGAAGCCUAUAACUUGGAUAUCAAAAAAUAGCGAUGGCAUCAAGUUUGAAAUUUUGAGACACAGCAUCUGGAAACAAAAAUAAAAUAAAACAUGAUAUCAGAAAAGAAAAUGGAUGAAAGAAUAUUACACUCCCCAAUUUUUGACUCCAACCAUAUCAAGCUUGGAUUGAGGAGGAUUGGUUUCAAUCUGCACUCCAUUUAUCUCAGAGAUUGUCAUUGUAGUUCACUUUAAGGAGCAAAAG